GAAGACCUGUCCUUAGUACGAGAGGACCGGGAUGGACGUACCUCUGGUGUACCAGUUGUCCUGCCAAGGGCAUGGCUGGGUAGCUAUGUACGGAAUGGAUAAGCGCUGAAAGCAUCUAAGCGCGAAGCCAACUUCAAGAUAAGAUUUCCCACCGCAAGGGUAAGACCCCAGAAAGACUAUCUGGUUGAUAGGUCGAAGGUGUAAGUGCAGCAAUGUAUUUAGCUUAUCGAUACUAAUAGGUCGAGGACUUGACCAAU
rnacentral:rRNA from 1 species